rnacentral:rRNA from 1 species
CAGUGAUCACUUUAACGGCCGCGGUACCCUGACCGUGCAAAGGUAGCAUAAUCAUUUGCCUUUUAAUUGGAGGCUAGUAUGAAUGGUCUGACGAGAGUAAAACUGUCUCAUAUAUAUUCAAUAGAAAUUAACUUAAAGGUGCAAAGGCCUUUAUUUACUAAAAAGACGAGAAGACCCUGUUGAGCUUUAAUCUAACAUCUUUUCUAUAUUAAUAAAUUUAUUUUGCUCGCUAAAGAUUUUAAUUGGGGCGAUUAAGGAACAACUAUUAGCUUCCUGAAUAGUUAAAUCGAUCCAGCAGUGCUGAUCAACAAAAUGAGUUACCACAGGGAUAACAGCAUAAUUCUUCUUGAGAGCCCAUAUCGAAAGAAGAGAUUGUGACCUCGAUGUUGGACUAGGGUAACUAGAAGGUGUAGCCGCUUUCUUGUUUGGUCUGUUCGACCAGUAAUUCCCU